AGAGUUUGAUCAUGGCUCAGAGCGAACGUUAGCGGCGGGCCUAACACAUGCAAGUCGAACGAGAAUGUAGGCUUCGGUCUACUAGUAAAGUGGCGGACGGGUGCGUAACACGUGGGUAAUCUACCUUCCGGCGGGGGACAACAGUCCGAAAGGAUUGCUAAUACCGCGUACGUCAGCGGCGCCUACGGGCGCUGUUGGGAAAGAUGGCCUCUCCUUGGAAGCUAUCACCGGAAGAUGAGCCCGCGUCCCAUCAGCUAGUUGGUGAGGUAAUGGCUCACCAAGGCUAAGACGGGUAGCUGGUCUGAGAGGAUGAUCAGCCACACUGGGACUGCGACACGGCCCAGACUCCUACGGGAGGCAGCAGUGGGGAAUAUUGGGCAAUGGGCGAAAGCCUGACCCAGCCACGCCGCGUGAGUGAUGAAGGCCUUCGGGUCGUAAAGCUCUGUGGGGAGGGACGAACAAGCUCCGGGCUAAUCACCGGGGACCUGACGGUACCUCCUUAGCAAGCACCGGCUAACCCUGUGCCAGCCGCCGCGGUAAUUC
rnacentral:rRNA from 1 species